CCCAAGAAUAAUUAAAUAGAGGAGGAAGAAUCAACAAUUUUCAUCUCAUAAGCAAUUGCUCGAAAGUAUAUCAAUAUUGGACUCAUUUUGAAGCUCGUAUUUUAAAACGACGUGUUAUAAUUUUUAUUUUGUCAAAGGACAAAUUCCUGAUAAUGUUAUUUACCCAAAAAAGAAAAAGAAAAAAAAAGAAGGAAAGUAAAGAGAGAGAUAAGAGGAAUUGGUGCGGUGAACUUGGAAUAAGAAGGAAUGAAAAAGAAAGAGGAAUAAUGAAAACAUCUUUGCACUUCUUUUUCUUUUUCCUUCUUUUCCGCUCAUCUCUCCCUUUCCCCUCUUCUUCUUUCUUCCGCCUCCUUCAUCGUCUUCUUUUUUUUCUCUUCUUCUUCUUCUUCUUCUUCUUCUUCUGCCUCCUUCAUCAUCCCUCCACUCACUUCUGUUCCCCACCAUGUCUGUCUCUCCACUUCCCCUUGUCCCCCACGCUUAUUCCUCGCUUCGUCUCUCUCAUACGCUCCUCCUUUUACUUUAAUACAAAUGAAACCUUAUAAAUCAAACGGGAGUUAAUCCAGAAGGGGAGGAGGAUUUUCAGUUUUGGGGAGGGAACUGAGCAUCGUUUUAGAAAAAGAGAGAUUUUUGUUGAGCAAGAAACCUAAGAAACUUGGACAAAAGAUCUGGAAUCUACAAAUUUUCCUUACAAAAACACAGUUACUUUAAUCGGGUUCGUUCGAGUUCGAGUAGAGAUCCGAGAUUCAUACCCCGUUCAUUGCACCUACAAAAGGUAUGCAUUUGCAUCGGAGUACAAUAAAUGACGAAGAUCAAGGGCACCACAAAUGGAGCUGGAAGUUAGGCAUAAAAAUUUUAUUUACUUUAUUUAGAUUAGGAAACACUUUAUGUUGUAUUCAUUCGACGUGUAAUAAAUAUUACAUUAUUUUGUACUUUCUUUUUUGAGAAAUAGAAUCUGUUUACA